AAAGCCUCUAAGCUUCAGAUAGUCAGGAAUCGUACCCCAAACCGACACAGGUGGUCGGGUAGAGAAUACCAAGGCGCUUGAGAGAACUCGGGUGAAGGAACUAGGCAAAAUGGUACCGUAACUUCGGGAGAAGGUACGCUCUUGAUGGUGAAGUCCCUCGCGGAUGGAGCUGACGAGAGUCGCAGAUACCAGGUGGCUGCAACUGUUUAUUAAAAACACAGCACUGUGCAAAAUCGCAAGAUGACGUAUACGGUGUGACGCCUGCCCGGUGCCGGAAGGUUAAUUGAUGGGGUUAGCGCAAGCGAAGCUCUUGAUCGAAGCCCCGGUAAACGGCGGCCGUAACUAUAACGGUCCUAAGGUAGCGAAAUUCCUUGUCGGGUAAGUUCCGACCUGCACGAAUGGCGUAAUGAUGGCCACGCUGUCUCCACCCGAGACUCAGUGAAAUUGAAAUCGCUGUGAAGAUGCAGUGUACCCGCGGCUAGACGGAAAGACCCCGUGAACCUUUACUACAGCUUGGCACUGAACAUUGAACCUACAUGUGUAGGAUAGGUGGGAGGCUAUGAAGACGUGACGCCAGUUGCGUUGGAGCCGUCCUUGAAAUACCACCCUUGUAUGUUUGAUGUUCUAACUUAGACCCAUUAUCUGGGUUGAGGACAGUGCCUGGUGGGUAGUUUGACUGGGGCGGUCUCCUCCCAAAGAGUAACGGAGGAGCACGAAGGUGGGCUAAUCACGGUUGGACAUCGUGAGGUUAGUGCAAUGGCAUAAGCCCGCUUAACUGCGAGAAUGACGGUUCGAGCAGGUGCGAAAGCAGGUCAUAGUGAUCCGGUGGUUCUGUAUGGAAGGGCCAUCGCUCAACGGAUAAAAGGUACUCCGGGGAUAACAGGCUGAUACCGCCCAAGAGUUCAUAUCGACGGCGGUGUUUGGCACCUCGAUGUCGGCUCAUCACAUCCUGGGGCUGAAGUCGGUCCCAAGGGUAUGGCUGUUCGCCAUUUAAAGUGGUACGCGAGCUGGGUUUAGAACGUCGUGAGACAGUUCGGUCCCUAUCUGCCGUGGGCGUUGGAAGAUUGAAGGGGGCUGCUCCUAGUACGAGAGGACCGGAGUGGACGAACCUCUGGUGUUCGGGUUGUGUCGCCAGACGCAUUGCCCGGUAGCUAAGUUCGGAAUUGAUAAGCGCUGAAAGCAUCUAAGCGCGAAGCGAGCCCUGAGAUGAGUCUUCCCUGACAGUUUAACUGUUCUAAAGGGUUGUUCGAGACUAGAACGUUGAUAGGCAGGGUGUGUAAGCGUUGUGAGGCGUUGAGCUAACCUGUACUAAUUGCCCGUGAGGCUUAACCAU
rnacentral:rRNA from 1 species